GAAAGUAAGCAAGGGCAGACGGUGGAUGCCUUGGCUCUCGGAGGCGACGAAGGACGUGAUAAGCUGCGAAAAGCUCGGGGGAGGCGCAAAUAGCCCUUGAUCCCGGGAUAUCCGAAUGGGGCAACCCGGCAGGCUGAAGGCCUGCCAUCCCGUAAGGGAGGCGAACGUGGGGAACUGAAACAUCUAAGUACCCAUAGGAGGAGAAAAUAAACAAUGAUUCCGUAAGUAGUGGCGAGCGAACACGGAAGAGCCCAAACCCGUGCCGUCUAGGCGACACGGGGGUUGUAGGACCACGACGUGGCAAGAUAGAGUCAAGUGGAACGCCUUGGAAAAGGCGACCGUAGAGGGUGAUAGUCCCGUACACGACUGACGAUUGAAGCCUAGUGGCAUCCUGAGUAGCGCGGGGCACGAGAAAUCUUGCGUGAAACUGCGGGGCCCAUCCCGUAAGGCUAAAUACUCCCGAGAGACCGAUAGCGAACCAGUACCGUGAGGGAAAGGUGAAAAGAACCCCGAGCAGGGGAGUGAAAUAGACCCUGAACCCGUCUGCCUACAAGCGGUCGGAGCAUCGUCAAGAUGUGACGGCGUGCCUUUUGCAUAAUGAACCUACGAGUUACCUUCCCCGGCAAGGUUAAGUACCUAAGGUACGGAGCCGAAGCGAAAGCGAGUCUGAAUAGGGCGGCCAGUCGGGGGGGGUAGACGCGAAACCGAGUGAUCUACCCUUGGCCAGGUUGAAGGUUGGGUAACACCAACUGGAGGACCGGAUGGGUAAGCGUUGAAAAGCUUUCCAAUGAGCUGAGGGUAGGGGUGAAAGGCUAAUCAAACUCGGAGAUAGCUCGUACUCCCCGAAAUGCAUUUAGGUGCAGCCUCUUUAUAGUAUAUCGUGAGGUAGAGCGACUGAUUGGAUGCGAGGGCUUCACCGCCUAUCAAGUCCAGAUAAACUCCGAAUGCGCGAUAUAUAUUUAAAGGGAGUGAGGGCGCGGGUGCUAAGGUCCGUGUCCGAGAGGAGAAGAAUCCAGACCACCGGCUAAGGCCCCCAAAUGAUCGUUGAGUUGAACUAACGAGGUCGGAUCGCAGAGACAGCUAGGAUGUUGGCUUGGAAGCAGCCAUUCAUUUAAAGAGUGCGUAACAGCUCACUAGUCGAGCGAUCUGGCGUGGAUAAUAAUCGGGCAUAAACGAUCUGCCGAAGCCGUGGAUGUCGUAAGACAUGGUAGGGGAGCAUUCCAUGCGGCGUCGAAGAUGAGGGAUGACCCUUGUUGGAGCGCAUGGAAAAGCAAAUGUAGGUAUGAGUAACGAUAAGGGGGGCGAGAAACCCCCCCGCCGAAAGACCAAGGUUUCCUGAUCAACGCUAAUCGGAUCAGGGUGAGUCGGGACCUAAGGCAAAGCCGAACGGCGCCGCCGAUGGAAGAAUGGGUUAAUAUUCCCAUACUGCCUCAUGGAGUGACGUGGAGACGGAGAAGUGACAGUCCUGCCGGCUGACGGAAUAGCCGGUUGAAGGGUGUAGAUAUUGAUUCCCGUAGGCAAAUCCGCGGGGAGAGUCGAACCUGAGAGUAUACGGAGCGCUUGCGCAACGUAAUAUGGACGUAACCAUGCUCCCGAGAAAAUCCGCUAAACUUAUCCAUGCGGCACCCGUACCGUAAACGGACACACGUGGUCGGGUUGAGAAUACUGAGGCGCUCGAGUGACUCACGGUUAAGGAACUAGGCAAAUUGACCCUGUAACUUCGGGAUAAAGGGUCCUCGUCGUAAGGCGAGGCGCAGAGAAUAGGUCCAGGCAACUGUUUAACAAAAACACAUGGCUGUGCUAAAUGGAAACAUGACGUAUACAGCCUGACACCUGCCCGGUGCUGGAAGGUUAAGAGGAGAUGUCAUCGCAAGAGAAGCGUUGAAUUGAAGCCCCAGUAAACGGCGGCCGUAACUAUAACGGUCCUAAGGUAGCGAAAUUCCUUGUC
rnacentral:rRNA from 1 species